rnacentral:rRNA from 1 species
UACGUAGGGUGCGAGCGUUAAUCGGAAUUACUGGGCGUAAAGCGUGCGUAGGCGGCCAUGUAAGACAGAUGUGAAAUCCCUGGGCUUAACCUAGGAACUGCAUUUGUGACUGCAUUGCUAGAGUGUGAUAGAGGGAGAUGGAAUUCCGCAUGUAGCAGUGAAAUGCGUAGAUAUGCGGAGGAACACCAAUGGCGAAGGCAAUCUCCUGGACCUGCACUGACGCUCAUGCACGAAAGCGUGGGGAGCAAACAGG